UGAUACGUAGGGGGCGAGCGUUGUCCGGAUUUACUGGGCGUAAAGAGCUCGUAGGCGGUUAAAUAAGUCGGGUGUGAAACCCCCAGGCUCAACCUGGGAACGCCACUCGAUACUGUUUUGACUAGAGGCCGGUAGGGGACCAUGGAAUUCCUGGUGUAGCGGUGAAAUGCGCAGAUAUCAGGAGGAACACCAGUAGCGAAGGCGGUGGUCUGGGCCGGUACUGACGCUGAGGAGCGAAAGCGUGGGGAGCGAACAGGAUUAGAUACCCUGGUAGUCCACGCUGUAAACGUUGGGCACUAGGUGUGGGGAGCUAUCGACGCUUUCCGUGCCGCAGCUAACGCAUUAAGUGCCCCGCCUGGGGAGUACGGUCGCAAGACUA
rnacentral:rRNA from 1 species